AUAUGUAAAAGAACAUAUAAUACAUAAAACUAAUUUAUAUAACAUUUAUCCCGCGCAAAGCGCUGUCUUAACCUAGUAUAUCAGUAUACCACCAACCAGUGAAUAUUUUAGAAACUAAUUCAUAACAUGACGUAUAAUAUGAUGGAAAACCAUGGUUUUGAACAGUGGCAGAUCUAAGAAAAAAAUUUACUCGGGGCAAAACUAUAAAACACUAGUAAUAUAUUUACAAAUUCAAAUUUUCAUCAGGACCACUAUUAAAAUGAUAUCCUUUUUUAUUAUUUGAGGAGCAUUAUAUAAAACUAACAUUUAAUUCAUGUGUUUAUUACAUGUGUGUCAUUUCCUACGUGUCAGCACCACAAGUUCUCUCACUUCAUAUAUUCAAAAACCCUUUCUUAGCUAGACUAAUUACAAAAUUUGUCAUUGCUCAUUACAUUAAAAAUUGGGUAUAUACUAUAAGCUUAUUGAGUAACAAAAAAAUUAAAUCCGCACCUUGCUUGCUACGCUUUAAUUAGAAACGACAAAUUUAAAUACACAGAGAUUUUAUUGCCAUAACCUGAGAUUCUUCAUAAUGAUCGAUUUCGUUAUAUAGCCCGACUUCAAUAUUAUUAAUGCCUUUCUACAUAGUUAGACUACAUAAAAUCCGUUGUGUACGUAUGUAUCUACAUAUCUACUUAUAUAUAUGUUGCUGCAACUCUUCUCCGUAUUAGAUAAAGAUACCAAUCACAAUCGCAAUAUUCAAGAAUUAUUACAGAAUGGCAAAAUCUUAUAGAUAUAUACGUACACUUUUUUUUUAAAUGACAUAAAACUUGGAAAUAUAUUAUAUUGUUAAAAGCUAAUAAUAUUUUCAAAUCUCCUCUAUUGCAUGUUAACCAUGUUUAUUGUUUCCAUAAUUAUCAAUGCAAUUGUAAUCGACGAUCAUUUUAUGAUACUUUAGAUUCAAGACAACACAAUUUAAUACAUUACCAUUUCGAUUUUUUCCACAAUAUAUGAUUCAAAUUUGAAUUGUCAAUCACGGAAUCAAAUGAAUUAUUGUCAAUGGCAAUGUUAGCGUGAUAAUGGAAACAAAAUUGGCGUGAAAAGAUGAGUUUUCUAUAUAAGGGAUUUAACGGAUAUUGCAUCGUUGUUAUUUGAAUACGGUUUCACCACGUCAAAGUUAUUACGAAUACAUGAGGAUUUUUCUAUAUAAGUGAUUUAACGGAUUAUCCAUCGUUGAUUUAUACAUACUUUUUGCAACAGAGGAUAUUUUUACAUUAAAUUUGCGUGACUAGAUCUUCAUAUUGUUACAUAUUUUACAUACAAACAUAUCGCACUGAUUAUCCAUCGUUGGUUUUUUUUUUUUUUGAAAAGAUCAAAAUUGGUAUGGUAGUUACUAUAUUUUUUAAUGAAUUGAUAUUCGGGGUCCCUUGAUUUUUUUGGAUAACUGCUCUAACAAAAAAGGAAAUUAUUGAAAUCAUAAAACAUGAUGUGCAAUCUUUUUGGUUUGACUGAAAAGUCAAUAUAGAGUAUUAAUGUAACAAAUCAUUUAUAAUUCAAUCAUAUUCGGUAUUCAAACCUAAGUUUCCUUAUCUUAUUCAUUUAAUUUAUAAAAUUUAUUCUCCACAUAAAAGUUGGACUAGACAUCGAAACUACUAUAAUCUUUUUCAACACUAAGUUUAUUUUCUUUAAAUUUUGGACUAUGAUAAAGUUUAUUCAAACCUAAGUUUCCUUUCCUUAAUUUUUUAUUUGUUUUGGGUGAUGUCACUAAAAUUAAAAGAACUUAAAUUGUGGGUCAGUAACACUUGAGACAAUCAUGUGCUUAUUUAGGCUUGUAUGAUUUUCUCUAUUCUUUAUUAUAUGUUUAAUUGUGAGAAAAUAUAUAUAUUUUUUCUCAUUUUUUUGUAUAUGUUUCAUGUACAUUAAGAAAGUUGACCAUAUUAUUUUCAACAAUUAAUGAUUUGGUUAACUAAUACUAUGUUUAAUUGUGAGAAAUAUUAUAUUAAGGUUUAUUAUUACUAAUACUAUGUUUAUAUAUGUUUAGGUGGCCAACACUUACAUCAAAAUAAUCUCAUAUAUCAUUAAAAUUAAGUAUUUUUAAAAAUAAAAACAAUUGUUUAUAUUAGUCUUUGCUUAUUCUUAUAUGUUUACUUCUACAAAAUAUACUUCAAUUACACAAGUUUUUUUAAAAGUUGAAGCUUACUUUAUAUAAACUUACAUGCACAGUUUCGUUCAGUUUUUCAUUAUAUAAUAUACAAUAUUUGUUACUAUGAUUUUUAACUUUCUAAUAUCUAUAAAUUAAAAGUUUUAAUCUAUUUUAUUUCAUUCAUCCUACGCAGGGCGCAUGUUACCACUUAGUACAAUAUUACACUAAUUAAAAUAAUCAUGGAGGUCAACUGCCCAACCCACUCCCCAACUAGUUCCGUCCCUGGGUCGAAGAUAAGUGACUGUAAGGCAGGAGACUAUUGCCUUUGAUCGUUGGUUACUUUUCCCUUCAAACUCUUAAAGCAUCUUUAAUAGAAUUAUCUUACAAACAUUUCCCGCUUUAUUAGUUAUAAUUACAUCUUUCUCUCACAAGAGAGUAAUCUUUUGCCCGCCUUAAAGAAAUCAGUAUGGUAUAAAGUUUUUCUAAGUUCGAAUCAUUAAAUGAUUCAGGUUGAUUUGAUCCUAGCACAAAGAUUUGGUCUUUCUCUUCGUGUUUUGAUGAUGGUCUGAAGAGUGUUUGGAACUAAUUGUCAUAUAUUUUCUGGUCUAAGGAUUUUAAAGAUAAAUCCAAUUUUUCUUCUGUAAGUAAAUGUACAUUUUAUGGCAGGGAGAUCCGUAGGACUAGGCAUAAUCGGUUUGGUUUUCGAUUUUUCGGUUGUAGAUAUAUAAAACUGUUCGGUUAUUUAUGAAAUUUGAUUCUUAUUUCAGUUUUUGGUUUGAUUGGGUAAUAAUAUUGCGAAUUGGCUAAUAUUCGAUAAAAUUUGUUCCAACUCAGAUCUGGUUUUUGAAUUAUUCAAAUAAAAGAUUCAGAAUUUUUUUUAGUUUUAAGAUUAAAUAUCAAAUAGUUAAGAUAAAUUAAAAUAUUUUAGAUAAAAUUGGUGGGUGUACACUUUACGAUUGCACGUAUUCAACCUGAUAGCAUAAAGAAAAUUUAAUAAAUGUGUUUUAUUGGGCCUAGUUUAAAAGUCUGUUAAGUCUACAUUGAAAUCCGUUUAAUCAGCAGGAUCAACAAAACCUUGAGGAAGGUGCACUAUAAACAUACCACGUGGAGGAAUAAGCACCGUCCGUUUAAAAAUGUAUCCGUUGAUGUUUAAAGAUGCAACGAUACAUAUAUAAAAGCGUAUGUAUCAGAAGGAGAUGAUUACUCUGUUCUUUCACUUCUCUUAGGGUUUUCUCCCAAAAGUUUCUUUCUGGAGAUAACUCCUUUUCAAAGAAGCAGAGAAGUUCACGAUUCUUGAAAGAUGAUCCUGGAAAGCGCUUGAAUCCGUAUGGAAUCAUCGUUGAGAUUGAAGAUAAGUGUGAGUCUCUGAGUUGAACGGCUAAAGAAGUAGCAACCUAAGACAUGUUUUGUAUGGGCUUCAGAAAACUCAGAGAUGAUUUCAAGUGUAUCAGAUUUCUUUAACCAGGUGCGUUCUUCACAAACUGUUCAUAUCUUCAUUGACGCCAAGGAUUUACCCAGAUCAGUAUUAACGAUAUUGAAAGCCAAACAAGUGAGAAGGCAAUGCUUCGGAAUGUGAGUAUACGACCAUAUGCAAUUUAAAUAGAGGGAAAAACUGGUUCAUUAUGUUCAAAUAGUAGAUAAUACGAGCAAGAAUGAUCGUGGUCCAUAUGUUUUAAAUAAUUUAUGGAAAAACUUAUCACAUAAUGGAUUGUUAUUUC